rnacentral:rRNA from 1 species
UAACGCGAAGAACCUUACCAGGUCUUGACAUCCUCUGACAAUCCUAGAGAUAGGACGUCCCCUUCGGGGGCAGAGUGACAGGUGGUGCAUGGUUGUCGUCAGCUCGUGUCGUGAGAUGUUGGGUUAAGUCCCGCAACGAGCGCAACCCUUGAUUUUAGUUGCCAGCAUUCAGUUGGGCACUCUAAGGUGACUGCCGGUGACAAACCGGAGGAAGGUGGGGAUGACGUCAAAUCAUCAUGCCCCUUAUGACCUGGGCUACACACGUGCUACAAUGGACAGAACAAAGGGCAGCGAAACCGCGAGGUUAAGCCAAUCCCACAAAUCUGUUCUCAGUUCGGAUCGCAGUCUGCAACUCGACUGCGUGAAGCUGUUAAUACGCUAGUAAUCGCCAUCAGGCUUAUUUUCCACCCACCCC